rnacentral:rRNA from 1 species
CCUACGGGAGGCAGCAGUGGGGAAUAUUGGGCAAUGGGCGCAAGCCUGACCCAGUAACGCCGCGUGAAGGAAGAAGGCUUUCGGGUUGUAAACUUCUUUUAUCAGGGACGAAGCAAGUGACGGUACCUGAUGAAUAAGCCACGGCUAACUACGUGCCAGCAGCCGCGGUAAUACGUAGGUGGCAAGCGUUAUCCGGAUUUACUGGGUGUAAAGGGCGUGUAGGCGGGAAAGCAAGUCAGAUGUGAAAACCAUGGGCUCAACCUGUGGCCUGCAUUGGAAACUGUUUUUCUUGAGUACUGGAGAGGCAGGCGGAAUUCCUAGUGUAGCGGUGAAAUGCGUAGAUAUUAGGAGGAACACCAGUGGCGAAGGCGGUCUGCUGGACAGCAACUGACGCUGAGGCGCGAAAGCGUGGGGAGCAAACAGGAUUAGAUACCCCUGUAGUC